rnacentral:rRNA from 1 species
CCAAUAGCGUAUAUUAAAGUUGUUGCAGUUAAAAAGCUCGUAGUUGAAUUGCGGGAUCAUCAGGUUGGUCGUGCCUUCGGUAUGUACUUGCUUCGGUGGUCCCUCCUUCUUGAAGAACCGUAAUGCCAUUAAUUUGUUGUUGCGGGGAAACAGGACUGUUACUUUGAAAAAAUUAGAGUGUUUAAAGCAGGCAAUCGCUUGAAUACAUUAGCAUGGAAUAAUGAAAUAGGACGUUCGAUCCUAUUUUGUUGGUUUCUAGGAUUGACGUAAUAUUUAAUAGGGAUAGUUGGGGGCAUUAGUAUUCAAUUGUCAGAGGUGAAAUUCUUGGAUUUAUUGAAGACUAACUACUGCGAAAGCAUUUGCCAAGGAUGUUUUCAUUAAUCAAGCACGAAAGUUAGGGGAUCGAAGACGAUCAGAUACCGUCGUAGUCUUAACCAUAAACUAUGCCGACUAGGGAUCGGAUGAUGUUAAUUUUUUAAUGACUCAUUCGGCGCCUUACG